rnacentral:rRNA from 1 species
UACAAAGGAAUUGACGGGACCGCACAAGCGGUGGAUGAUGUGGUUUUAAUUCGAUGCAACGCGAAAACCUUACCCACCUUUGACAUGGCAGGAAUCCCGAAGAGAUUUGGGAGUGCUCGAAAGAGAACCUGCACACAGGUGCUGCAUGGCUGUCGUCAGCUCGUGUCGUGAGAUGUUGGGUUAAGUCCCGCAACGAGCGCAACCCUUGCCAUUAGUUGCUACGAAAGGGCACUCUAAUGGGACUGCCGGUGACAAACCGGAGGAAGGUGGGGAUGACGUCAACGUCCCCAUGGCCCUUAUAGGUGGGGCUACACACGUCAUACAAUGGCCGGUACAGAGGGUAGCCAACCCGCGAGGGGGAGCCAAUCCCACAAAGCCGGUCGUAGUCCGGAUCGCAGUCUGCAACUCGACUACGUGAAGUCGGAAUCGCUAGUAAUCGUGGAUCAGAAUGUCACGGUGAAUACGUUCCCGGGUCUU